rnacentral:tRNA from 1 species
GGCUCGUUGGUCUAGGGGUAUGAUUCUCGCUUUUGGGUGCGAGAGGUCCGGGGUUCAAAUCCCGGACGAGCCC